AGAUUGAACGCUGGCGGCAGGCCUAACACAUGCAAGUCGAGCGGCAGCACGGGUACUUGUACCUGGUGGCGAGCGGCGGACGGGUGAGUAAUGCCUAGGAAUCUGCCUGGUAGUGGGGGAUAACGCUCGGAAACGGACGCUAAUACCGCAUACGUCCUACGGGAGAAAGCAGGGGACCUUCGGGCCUUGCGCUAUCAGAUGAGCCUAGGUCGGAUUAGCUAGUUGGUGAGUAAUGGCUCACCAAGGCGACGAUCCGUAACUGGUCUGAGAGGAUGAUCAGUCACGCUGGAACUGAGCACGGUCCAGACUCCGUACGGGAGCAGCAGGUGGGAAUAGUUGGACAAGUGGGACGAAAGCCUGAUCCAGCCAUGCCGCGUGUGUGAAGAGUCUUCGGAUUAGAAAGCUAACGUUUAAGGUGGAGGAAGGCAAGUUAAAUUAAUACUUUGACGUUGUUUAGACGUUACCGA
rnacentral:rRNA from 1 species